rnacentral:lncRNA from 1 species
GAGGCACGUAAAAGGAGGACACGCUGGAGGAAAGAGAAGGGACAGAUCAAAUCUAUUCAGGAGUAGAGACCAAUUAGAGAGACGGAUGGAGUCCAAUUCUUUUGGUGUUUUAUGAAAGAUGUUAGAUUCGAUUGGAAAAGGAUAAAGACAGAAUAUCUUUUAGUUAACAUAUGCAAGAAAAUUGGUGGAAUGAUUGUCGUAUUUUUUGAAGAUAAAUAAGAGGGAUAAU